CUCCCUGAGCGCCUUUGGGCUCUGGUUUUUGUUGGGGGGGGGGGUGAGUGUUUGUUUUUAAAAAAUUAUUUUUGUGUUUUUCCAGUUGGGGAAGGCAGAGGCACCCCGGCAGAGUUCCCAGGUCUGGGGAGGUGUGCCGCCGAGCGCGGUUUGGAGAGACGGCGCGACCUCUUUGCAGAAGGGGCUCCUGGCCCCGGAACCUCCCCGCGCGGCUUCUAGUCGCAGAGCUGGGAAAGGUUAGCGGUGGAAAACUCUGGAAUGGAGGAAAGACUGGCAACUGGAGCAGGACCCAGGGCUUUAAAUUUUAACCCGAGUUCGAUCGAGUGCGUGGUUCUCACCGUGGCUUCCAAGGUCUCGCUGGAUUGCGGUCCCUCAGCGACCUGCACCAAGCUUUUAAACGAACUGAAUUUUGCAAAGCUCGUGUAUAAGCAGUCAUGCGAAUGUUCUGGACGGUUGAUUUCCUUUGAGUCCAAUUGUUUGUUUUUUUGUUUGUUUGUUUUUUGAAGUGUUUUUCAGAUUUGUGUUAAAAGGAUUUUUUAAAAUUUGCAUUUGCUAAAAAAUAAAUGCUUUGUUGGA